rnacentral:misc_RNA from 1 species
UUGAAGCGCAGACCUACCCAGCCA